rnacentral:tRNA from 1 species
AAUCUUAUAGUUUAGCUUAAAACAUUAAAUUGCAAAUUUAAUAAUGAAUUAAUAUUCUAAGAUUU